AGUCGCAUGCGAAGAUCGAUCUUCGCAUGUGGCCUAUUUAAGCAGCCGCAUGCGAAGAUCGAUCUUCGCAUGUGAUC
rnacentral:pre_miRNA from 11 species